rnacentral:lncRNA from 1 species
CUUCGGUCAGAGCACAAGUAUUCAAACUGGGCCCGAAUCUCCCCGUGUCUCCCUUUCUUCCGCGGGCUGCUCUUUGCAGUCAUCACAAUGGCAGCAUGACUACUGGAAGAUAUUGCAAUGACUUCUUCAAAUCAGAACACAAAGCAAUGUGGAGGAUCUUUUGAAGAUACUAAAGUUAUAAAAUGAGAAAUGGAGGGAUGAGUUUUCAGGUAAGUAUAUUCACCAACCAAAUUAUUUCUAAAUAUAUUUCAAAGCUUC